UGAAACCAACAAUUUUAACCAACCCCAAUUGUCCACAGCCCAAAAUCUCCACCUAUAAAUAAACAAAUUCGCGUCAAAUUUCUCGUUUACCCUUUAGACUCUGAGAUCUCGAAGGUGUUCCGCCGUUCUUAUGCCUUGUCAAAAUUAAGUUCUACUUCAUUUUUAGAUUUGAGGUGCAGUCCAAGUUUUACUAUUUUCUGGCUGUACACAUUUAGCAGUCAUAGAGGGUCGAGAAUCGUCUGGGAGAGGACUCCUCUUAUUUGAUUCAUCUUAUAAUGACCACGAUGGUUUUAGUUUGAUGGUAUCAUUUCAAAUGGAUAAGAUCGAUGGAGAGGUGCGACUUGUUCUUCUUUUUAUCAGUCUUCUGGUUUCUUGAUAACUCAAGAAAAAUGCCGGAAUCAAUUAAAGACACAAAUCAGGAUGAUGAAGAGGAAGAAGAAAAUGGUGAUAGUAAUUCUCUUCGGUUGUCACAAGCAUCGCUUCUCCCAGAGCUAAACCUGCUUAUGCUUCUUUAUGUUUCCUCUUUAGCGUGGGAUGAAUGUUUGGAUUCCAGUGAGAAAACUAAGAAGGGAAGUGUGAAAGACGAUGAAGCUAAACGUUCUCUAUCAAAGGCACAUACUCUAAGGCGAGAAACAAAUAACUGUACAUUUGUGACUCAAAGGAGGCCAAAGUUUCUGACAAAGAUAAGGGACUCAAGGCAUUGCAGAAGAAUGUGAAGAAAUAAACAACUAUAAGUGAUAAAGGAGAAAGAAGCCGAAGAUAAGAGAAAGUAUUGGAAAUUAUUAUCAAUUAUAGUGUUCUCAAGCACCUCACAAAAGCAUGAGGAUGAAAAGAAAAGCAGCAGUAGAGUGAUUCCUUGAACGACGCCCCAAGAACUUUCAUCAAAGUCAAUGUUGAUGGGGCAGUGGGCCCUCUAUGUUCUUGAAUUGGUAUUAUUGUUCGAACCCAUUUGAGUCAGUUGGUUUGUGGAAGGUCUGUUUGUGCUCCAAUAUCUAAUUUUGAGAUGGCUGAAGCAUUGGCUUUCAGAGAUGGUUUACAAUUGGCUCAAGAUUUAUCUCUCACACACAUUGUUCUUGAAGGGGAUGCAUAGAAGAUUACUAAUAUCUUGUUAGAUCGUUAGUCUGAGGUCCCAUUGCAGCUUCAUACAGUCAUAGCCGAUUGCAGGAGUCUUUUGCAAGGUUUUCAUCAAGCUCAUAUAUCCUUCAUCCCUCAUACAAGCAAUAAUUCUGCUCACACUUUGGCAAAAUUUGGUUGUACUUUGUCGAGGACCCAAACUUGGUCCAUCUCUCUAGAUUUUCUUUUGCCUGUACUAAGAGCUGAUUCAGUGCAAUGAAUGAUUUAGCCUACGGGCUUUUUA